rnacentral:rRNA from 1 species
UACGUAGGCAGCAAGCGUUGUUCGGAAUUAUUGGGCGUAAAGGGCUCGUAGGCGGUUUGUCGCGUCGGGAGUGAAAACCUCGGGCUUAACUCGGGGCUUGCUUUCGAUACGGGCAGACUAGAGGUAUGCAGGGGAGAACGGAAUUCCUGGUGUAGCGGUGAAAUGCGCAGAUAUCAGGAGGAACACCGGUGGCGAAGGCGGUUCUCUGGGAAUAUCCUGACGCUGAGGAGCGAAAGUGUGGGGAGCGAACAGG